ensembl:lncRNA
CCUCAGGCUCUUUAAGUGCCUGAGUUGCUUGCAUGUUAUUUUUCCCUGUGGUGAAAGCAACAGGCACAUCAAAGCAGGUCCCAGGACUCGUCACUAGAAAGGUAUCUGGCCCCAGCACACGACAUGCUACAGAAGAAAAUCCUGCCAUAGCAUCCUCCUCACAGCACCAACAAGGAUGCCCAAAUCUCCUGAGACACAAAGCACACAUCAUAUGGCCAAGAGCCACAGCACACCCCCACACACCUUGGACAGCUGACAGCUGAGGCAGAUCCAGAAGUGGUGAAGAUGAUUCACAAAAUGGAAGACUGACAUUCACAACUCUCCAGGCUCCUGCUCCAUGGCAGGAGGGACCCAAGCUAACUGCAGCUGGCCAGCACAACCUGGGGGCAAUUUCAGCACGCUCAUCUGGUCUGCCUGGUCCACACCCAGAGAAACAGAUUUUUCAGCAGCCCCCACUACCACAGGCUCUUUUGAGGGGCUACAUUUGGACUGUUCAAAGCUAUAAAAGAUUCAGCAACCAGCAA